rnacentral:rRNA from 1 species
GAUGAACGCUGGCGGCGUGCCUAAUACAUGCAAGUCGAGCGAACGGACGAGAAGCUUGCUUCUCUGAGGUUAGCGGCGGACGGGUGAGUAACACGUGGAUAACCUACCUAUAAGACUGGGAUAACUUCGGGAAACCGUAGCUAAUACCGGAUAAUAUUUUAAACCGCAUGGUUCAAAAGUGAAAGACGGUCUUGCUGUCACUUAUAGAUGGAUCCGCGCUGCAUUAGCUAGUUGGUAAGGUAACGGCUUACCAAGGCAACGAUGCAUAGCCGACCUGAGAGGGUGAUCGGCCACACUGGAACUGAGACACGGUCCAGACUCCUACGGGAGGCAGCAGUAGGGAAUCUUCCGCAAUGGGCGAAAGCCUGACGGAGCAACGCCGCGUGAGUGAUGAAGGUCUUCGGAUCGUAAAACUCUGUUACUAGGGAAGAACAUAUGUGUAAGUAACUGUGCACAUCUUGACGGUACCUAAUCAGAAAGCCACGGCUAACUACGUG